rnacentral:rRNA from 1 species
AACGAACGCUGGCGGCAGGCUUAACACAUGCAAGUCGAGCGCCCCGCAAGGGGAGCGGCAGACGGGUGAGUAACGCGUGGGAAUCUACCCAUCUCUACGGAAUAACGCAUGGAAACGUGUGCUAAUACCGUAUACGUCCUUCGGGAGAAAGAUAUAUCGGAGAUGGAUGAGCCCGCGUUGGAUUAGCUAGUUGGUGGGGUAAAGGCCUACCAAGGCGACGAUCCAUGGCUGGUCUGAGAGGAUGAUCAGCCACACUGGGACUGAGACACGGCCCAGACUCCUACGGGAGGCAGCAGUGGGGAAUAUUGGACAAUGGGCGCAAGCCUGAUCCAGCCAUGCCGCGUGAGUGAUGAAGGCCCUAGGGUUGUAAAGCUCUUUCACCGGUGAAGAUAAUGACGGUAACCGGAGAAGAAGCCCCGGCUAACUUCGUGCCAGCCGCCGCGGUAACAC